rnacentral:rRNA from 1 species
AUUGAACGCUGGCGGCAUGCUUUACACAUGCAAGUCGAACGGUAACAGGUUAAGCUGACGAGUGGCGAACGGGUGAGUAAUGCAUCGGAACGUGCCCGAUCGUGGGGGAUAACGCAGCGAAAGCUGCGCUAAUACCGCAUACGAUCUGAGGAUGAAAGCGGGGGACCUUAAGUCCUCGCGCGAUCGGAGCGGCCGAUGUCAGAUUAGGUAGUUGGUGGGGUAAAGGACAACCAAGCCGACGAUCUGUAGCUGGUCUGAGAGGACGACCAGCCACACUGGGACUGAGACACGGCCCAGACUCCUACGGGAGGCAGCAGUGGGGAAUUUUGGACAAUGGGCGAAAGCCUGAUCCAGCAAUGCCGCGUGCAGGAAGAAGGCCUUCGGGUUGUAAACUGCUUUUGUACGGAGCGAAAAGGUCCUUUCUAAUACAAGGGGCUCAUGACGGUACCGUAAGAAUAAGCACCGGCUAACUACGUGCCAGCAGCCGCGGUAA